rnacentral:lncRNA from 1 species
ACCUAAAGAUCCUGGACCAGGAGAUUAAGAAGCAAAUGACGUCUCCUUCGUGUUACCUGACACAGGAAACCCUAGUGGAGACCCAAAGGUUGACCAUGAACAAAACCUGCCCCGAUCUCCGCACCCAGGUUUAGGGGCUCCUGGAAGAAGUCCCCCCCGCCCCCACCCGGCCCCUCCCUGUGGUGCAGGCGCAGAGCCGCGGGCGGCUGCUCUGGAAAGCUCCGGGCUCUGCUGAGCCGCUGCUUCCUCCUCCUCCUCAUGCAAUAAAGAUCAAUUUGUCUGGGAGCCACUUCUUUUUGAUGAGAGACCGUUUCUGGGAGAGGUCUCGGGCUUCAAGGAGCACAUACAAGUAAGUAGUAAAAAAAGAAAACACAACACACAACACACGGCGCAGCGCCACCCCAGGCCUCCUCUGACCGCAGCCGCCCC